UUGGAGGGCAAGUCUGGUGCCAGCAGCCGCGGCAAUUCCAGCUCCAAUAGCGUAUAUUAAAGUUGUUGCAGUUAAAAAGCUCGUAGUUGAAUUUCGGGGUUAGUAGGUUGGUCAUGCUUCUGGUAUGUACUGGUCUCACUGAUUCCUCCUUCCUUAUGAACCGUAAUGCCAUUAAUUUGGUGUUGCGGGGAAUUUGGACUGUUACUUUGAAAAAAUUAGAGUGUUUAAAGCAAGCUAACGCUUGAAUACAUUAGCAUGGAAUAAUGAAAUAGGACGUUCGAUCUUAUUUUGUUGGUUUCUAGGAUUGACGUAAUGAUUAAUAGGGAUAGUUGGGGGCAUUAGUAUUCAAUUGUCAGAGGUGAAAUUCUUGGAUUUAUUGAAGACUAACUACUGCGAAAGCAUUUGCCAAGGAUGUUUUCAUUAAUCAAGAACGAAAGUUAGGGGAUCGAAGACGAUCAGAUACCGUCGUAGUCUUAACCAUAAACUAUGCCGACUAGGGAUCGGAUGAUGUUAAUUUUUUAAUGACUCAUUCGGCGCCUUACGGGAAAC
rnacentral:rRNA from 2 species